GGGUAUGGUUUAGUGGCAGAAUGCGACCUUCCCAAGGUCGAGACCCGAGUUCGAUUCUCGGUAUCCGCA
rnacentral:tRNA from 1 species